UUUAUGAGGAGGAAGGAUAGGGUUCUUCGGAAAUCGAAAUACCUGCUCUGGGUAUGGGCUUCUGCAACUCAAUAACAAGUAGGUUAGCCAUUUGAAAGAAGUAGGUUUAGAUUACAAGUUAGAAGGUUGGGAGAAUCAAAAUGAUGCUGAUGCAACAAACCUCAACACUAUUUUCAUUGAAGCCAGCGUGGGUAAAAGCACAAUACAGCACACCCUCCGUCGAUUCUAUCCCAUGGCUGCUACCGUUCCCGGCAACGCCCCCAAAUGGGCUCAGAAGACCGUUACUCUUUUCCCCUUCGACGAGGCUGCCAUCUCGUUACGUCUCAGAUAUUGAAGGAGAUUAGACCCGAUUUAUCAGAAUUUAAGAGCGGCCUUGCUCAUCUAUUCCGGAAGGUCUGCGCCUUGGAAGCAUGCGCUUGAAGGGUUCCUAUUACAGAUGGAAAGCUUAACAUGGGAACUUGGCAGGUACAUCGUAUUUAGAAAAAUAUUGACAAUGAUCAUCGAAAUCAGCUUUGAUUGCCCUUACACAUUGAGAACACGAAUGUUGUCGCUCUCGUGCAUUGCAUCUCUUGCUUUGAAUGCCUUUUGAUUAAUUUGCUCCGAGUCCGAUACAACUCGGGUUACAUUAAAUCGUAUUUUUAGUUUUUGUUGUAGCA